rnacentral:rRNA from 1 species
UACAGAGGUCUCAAGCGUUGUUCGGAUUUAUUGGGCGUAAAGAGCGUGUAGGCGGCCGAGUAAGUCCGGUGUGAAAACUCGAGGCUUAACCUCGAGAUGUCAUCGGAAACUAUUCGGCUAGAGUCCGGAAGAGGAGAGUGGAAUUCCUGGUGUAGCGGUGAAAUGCGCAGAUAUCAGGAAGAACACCUAUGGCGAAAGCAGCUCUCUGGGACGGUACUGACGCUGAGACGCGAAAGCGUGGGGAGCGAACAGG